rnacentral:rRNA from 1 species
GACGAACGCUGGCGGCGUGCCUAAUACAUGCAAGUCGAGCGAAUGGAUGGGAGCUUGCUCCCUGAAGUUAGCGGCGGACGGGUGAGUAACACGUGGGCAACCUGCCUGUAAGACUGGGAUAACUUCGGGAAACCGGAGCUAAUACCGGAUACAUUCUUUCUUCGCCUGAAGAAAGAUGGAAAGAUGGUUUCGGCUAUCACUUACAGAUGGGCCCGCGGCGCAUUAGCUAGUUGGUGAGGUAACGGCUCACCAAGGCAACGAUGCGUAGCCGACCUGAGGGGGUGAUCGGCCACACUGGGACUGAGACACGGCCCAGACUCCUACGGGAGGCAGCAGUAGGGAAUCUUCCGCAAUGGACGAAAGUCUGACGGAGCAACGCCGCGUGAGCGAAGAAGGCCUUCGGGUCGUAAAGCUCUGUUGUUAGGGAAGAACAAGUACCAGAGUAACUGCUGGUACCUUGACGGUACCUAACCAGAAAGCCACGGCUAACUACGUGCCAGCCGCCGCCGUAACAC